GCCUAACACAUGCAAGUCGAGCGGCAGCGCGAUAUGUAGCAAUACAUAUUGGCGGCGAGCGGCGGACGGGUGAGGAACACGUAGGAACCUACCCUCGAGUGGGGGAUAACCAAGGGAAACUUUGGCUAAUACCGCAUGAUUUCGAGAGAGCAAAGCUGCCGCAAGGUGGCGCUCGAGGAGGGGCCUGCGUCCGAUUAGCUAGUUGGUGAGGUAAGAGCUCACCAAGGCGACGAUCGGUAACUGGUCGGAGAGGACGACCAGUCACACGGGGACUAGGACACGGCCCAGACUCCUACGGGAGGCAGCAGUGGGGAAUAUUGGACAAUGGGGGCAACCCUGAUCCAGCGAUGCCGCGUGAGUGAAGAAGGCCUUCGGGUCGUAAAGCUCUUUAGGUUGGGAAGAAGAGUGAUGGAGGAAAUGCUAUCACUUUGACGGUACCGACAGAAUAAGCACCGGCAAACUCUGUGCCAGCAGCCGCGGUAAAAC
rnacentral:rRNA from 1 species